rnacentral:tRNA from 1 species
UAGGAGAAUAGCUUAAUUGGUAGAGCUUUGGUUUUCAAAACCAAUGGUCGGAGGUUCGAGUCCUUCUUCUCCUGGC